rnacentral:rRNA from 1 species
CCUACGGGAGGCAGCAGUGAGGAAUAUUGGUCAAUGGACGAAAGUCUGAACCAGCCAAGUAGCGUGAAGGAUGACUGCCCUAUGGGUUGUAAACUUCUUUUAUAUGGGAAUAAAAUGUUCCACGUGUGGCAUUUUGUAUAUACCAUAUGAAUAAGGAUCGGCUAACUUCGUGCCAGCAGCCGCGGUAAGACGGGGGAUCCGAGGGUUAUCCGGGUUUUUUGGGUUUACAGGGAGCGUAGGUGGAGUGUUAAGUCAGUUGUGAAAGGUUGCGGCUCAACCGUAGAAUUGCAGUUGAAACUGGCAGUCUUGAGUACAGUAGAGGUGUGCGGAAUGCGUGGUGUAGCGGUGAAAUGCUUAGAUAUCACGAAGAACUCCGAUUGCGAAGGCAGCUCACUGGACUGCAACUGACACUGAGGCUCGAAAGUGUGGGUAUCGAACAGGAUUAGAUACCCUAGUAGUC